rnacentral:rRNA from 1 species
UACGUAGGGUGCGAGCGUUAAUCGGAAUUACUGGGCGUAAAGCGUGCGCAGGCGGUUCGUUAAGUCAGAUGUGAAAGCCCCGGGCUCAACCUGGGAACUGCAUUUGAAACUGGCGGGCUUGAGUGUGGCAGGGGCGAUUGGAAUUCCGUGUGUAGCGGUGAAAUGCGUAGAUAUACGGAGGAACACCAGAGGCGAAGGCGGAUCGCUGGGCCAACACUGACGCUGAGACGCGAAAGCUAGGGGAGCAAACGGG